CUUUAUCGCGGAUAUACCUCUCUCUCUCUCUCUCUCUCUCUUUCUUCCACUUGCCUGGCUGGCCCUAGGUCUCCGUCCCCGAGACGUUCCAUAAAUCCAUCUACUUAUCCUCGAAGAGAUUGUCUGUGGGAAUUAAUCGCAGCUGAGUUCUGCCCACAUAACCUACCUACUCCUAUCUACCUACUUAGAGGUAUGUAGGUACUCUGACAUCCAAAUUGAACGCAGAGCUCACAAGGCAUACUACCUAGGUAGGUAGGUACUAUAUCGACCCCUUACGCACGGGCAGCUUCAAUCAGCUCCUUUAGGACAGACACAGCGAGAGCAUCUAACAAUCAGUGAUCCUUCACGAAGUAAGGGAGCUUGUCAAUCGGCAAGUACCUAAAUACCUGAACCGCACAUGGGAGUACCUAGGUACAUACAUACUUUUACAUACGUGUAAACUAGGUACUGUACGGAGGAACAAGGGGAGAGGGGAGGGGGGGAUGGACGGAAUCUUACUUGCUCCUUCCUUCCUUCGAUCAUCAUUCAGGCGGGCGCUGAGAUUCAGUCACUCACUUCCUUUCUUUCUAGGUAGUUACAAACUUAGGUGGCAUUUUGGACAAGAUUUGUCAGUGUCAGCGUUCUUCCAUCAGUGUCAAUGUCAGAGUUCACGACAGUAUAGGUACUUAGGUAGGUAUCCGUUAAUCUCUCUCAACGUCAGUGACAGCAGAUAUCUAUAUGUCAACUGAUCGCCCCCCGCGUGCUGUCAAGGAGGACAUGAGAUGAGUGGUAGGUAUGUACCUAGGUACCUACCUACCUACCUACCUCUAGCGAAUGAAUGAGGUCAAGCCGGCGGUGACACGGAAGAGCGGUUGACUUACACUAGGUAAGUAAGUAAGUAGUUGUACAACCUAGGUACCGUCGGGUUCUAUAUGCCGAUGACGGAUGGAAUGGCAAGUUCCCUCAACGUCAAAGAACCCUAAUGGAAAGGAAGCAUGAUACCUAAUGACGGGAGACAUGAGUCAGGUCUCGUAGUCAACCCUCAACCCCCCCUUUCUUGAUGAAUAGGGAACGAAGAAGGGGUUACACGACAGUUCAGAGAGAAGCAAUGGAAUCACGGAACUGAUAUUGUCUUACCUGUUGACGCAGCAACGGGCCGUCUUGGAUGUUUGAACGUCUGGAGGAUGAGGAAUGGGGGUUCUAGAUUCCGUUGCAACUGGCUUGAUUCAAAAAAAGUUUGAUAUGUUUGAUCGAGGUGAUUGAUACCUAUCGAGUAACUCAGAAUAAAACCAAGAGCCAGUCGAUGGACAAGUUCAUUUCGGGUAGGUAGGUAA